rnacentral:ncRNA from 2 species
UUUUUAUCAAGAAAGACGGAGGGACUGGCCCUAUGAUGUCUAGCAACCUGAAUUAAGUAUAUAUUAAUUUAAGGUGCUAAUUCCUGCAGAUGUUAUAUCUGGAAGAUAAGAA